CCGUGUUGACCAGGCUGGUCUCAAACUCCUGACCUUGUGAUUUGCCUGCCUUGGCCUUGCAAAGUGCUGGGAUUAUAGGUGUGAGCUACUGCGCCCGACCUUUUCAAGGAAAACAGCUAAAUCUCAGAACAGAAGCCCAGAAGAAAAUGACACCAGGGAGGCUGAAGAGCAGAGCAGAGAUUUCACAGUGGCUGUAGCAGUACUACUGGAGAAAGAGUAUAAGCAAAGACUGCAGAAUUGGGAAAAGAGAAUGGGUUUCAAGCCCCGCCAAGGUGGAGGGUGUUGGAGGCUGAAAGAAUAAGGGUCGUGAUCAACUCAGUAUACCACUGGAGGCUAUAUGAGUAAACAGCAAACUGUUCUCAUGAAUGCAGGAUGUUGGCAAGCUGACCACUAUGUCGGCGCCCAGAAGGAAUGCUGAGGGCAGUCACACUCCCGGCGCAGUGUUUCUUGUGAUUAGGCACAUCUGAGGCCUGUUAGCAAUGAUGUGAACCUGUGAUCAAUCAAACAGCUGACCAAUCAUUACCUCCUUCUCCCUGCUCUUUCUACCCAAUAAAUAUGAAGGACUGUAGAAGCUCAAGACUGCCUUUGCUCACUAGAAGCAUGGAGUUCCCUGACCCCUUCUUUAAAACAAAUCCUUUUUUCUUUGUCUUCAUUUCUGUGUUUGUCCUCCUUCGUUCAGUCCUGUAGUAACUGUCACAAGAGGGAAUUGGUAAACACUGUAGGCUUUCAGUUGAGACCCCUAAAAGACUGCUCAAUAGUAAGGAUCACGUUGUAUGAGUAAGGUUAAUGUCUUGGAAAUAGGGUGAAACUGAAAUAAAUCAGCCCUGAGAAAGCCCAAAGCUAGCAAUGGCAAACUAUUUUCCAAAGAUGGCCACAAUACUAUGACUCCCAUCUUACAUGUGCUUCUAGAAUCUUGCCAUUGCAUCAAGAGAUGAGUCUAUAUUUCUUUCUCUUGAACCUGGGUAUCCCUUUGUGAUUGCUCCAAUAGAGUAUGGCAGGAGUAAGUAAAGAUGCCAUGUAUAUCCACUGCAUUCUCUUGGGAUGCUUGCUCUUGAAACUCAGCCACCAUGCUAUGAGGAAGCCCAAGCAGCUUGUGGGAAGGAAGUGAGGCCUCUAGUCCAUAGCCCUUGUUGAGUUUCCAGGUGAUGGCUGGUGCCAGCUGGCCAGUCAUGUGAGUGACCAUCUUGAAAGUGGACCCUCCAGCCUCCAGCUGAGCUGACCCAGAUGAUGUUGAGUAGAGAGGAAAAGAAUGAUUCCUGCUGAAUCCUACCGAAAUUGCAGAUUCAUUAAUAAAAUAUUAUUUUUCAAUUUUGGGGGUUGUUUCUUAUGUAAUAAUAGAUAGCUAAAACAUCAAGCCUUGACAGGAUUAAGUGAUCUCCUAGUAUUUCAUUUGCCUUUCUGGGAAAAAACCCAUCCCCCUGGGGAAAGAUAACAUUAUUCAUAGCCUCUAUAAUUUUUCAUCCACAUGUCUGAAAUCUGGUAAUUACAUGCCAUGCUAAAAGUAGAGCUGAUGAUAAA